CGGGAGGGAAAGCCCAGCUGCCAAAUAAAUCAUACCUUCCCGGCAGAGAGGUGUGAGAUGCUCAACAGGAACCUGAGCUGCCUGGAAGGGGAGAGACAGGGGAUCUUCUGCAGAGAUUUUUCAAGCUUGUCCAGGCGCCAGCAGGGCCAGAUCCUCUGCCGGAGCCUGUCGAUGUAAAUGCACCAGUUCCUGUGGAGUUUUUUUGCUCUAUUCCCAGUGAGGAUUUGGCCAGAGCCUGCGUGUGUGCUUCCCGAGUGAACAAUGGGCUGUGGGAAACCGUGGGCCAUCCUGUCUCCACUGUGUGUUGGCUGAAAAGAAAAUUUGCGCACCUGACCUGGCCCUGCUUAGCAACGUGACUGGGGAAGAGCCAUUUGCUACUCGUUAGGACAGCAGAGCUCUUCUGAUGGCUCGGAGCAAGGACGAAGAAUCCCAGAAAAGGACCUAAUUUGAAAGAGGCUGCAGUUCAGCGGCAGGAGGGAUUUAAACACUAUUAAGACUGACAUUUUCCCUCAUCUCACAUCCCGUGGGGUACCUGAUUGCAAAUUUAUAAUACACCAGAGGUCUUGCCAUCAGAAGAUACAGACUUACAGUAACAGCAACUAAUUUAAAAAAGAUCUCCAGCGCAUCAGUGUCUGGGGCUGGUUUACACAGACUAAUUAAUCCUUAUUUGACCUGAAUUAACUCUUAAUCUGUGUGAAAUGAAAGAGCUUUACUGGGAUACAGAAAAUUUUAAAAGAUGGAAAAUCCUUUCAGAACCAGGGGUUUCUGCAGCUGAGUGACUUGUGGAUUAAAAUACUUGUUGGCUGCUGCUGUGGAAAAUUAGCCGUUUCAUUUUUUUCUAUUCCGAGCCCCCUGUUACUAACCAGAAAAUAAAGGAGAGGGGCAGAAGAUUUUUUUGCCACCAGCAGUUGCUGUCCCUUGGUAAGCAGUGCAGAAGCAGAGCAGAACAGUUCUCCCUGCUGUUUCCUGCUGAUAUCUUGGGUUUAUCAAAGAGAUCUGCAGGAUGGCACAAGGGAGAAAGAUCAUUUUGGAGCAGAUCUUCCCCUUGAUGUCCCCAGAUUGCACAGUCUCCAGGUGAGAGAUGGCUUCUCUGCUUCUUGGGAGCAGUGGCCUUUAGCAAGGACUGCAGACGCGAGCGCUAGGUAAAUACGGAAGGAUCACAAUGGAUGCUCCCUAUGUAGCCUGCUCAAAAACGGGGAGAUGUCCCCACCCCAUAUCUUUGUGACAGGGGGACUCGUACGGUUGGAAAAAAACAAACUUUCAGGCUCGAAAGUUGCUCCAUCAGGUUUGAUAAAGGACAAGCUCCAUCAGAUAUCCUCUCACGCCUCAGAGGACUCUGCCAGAGCACAGGAUGAGCAAAUGGCUCGUCCAAGAUGAUCUCAAGAACAUGAAGGGAUGAACACAUCCAUGGCCACAGUACACCCUGAUGCAGGGGCUAACUGGGAUGUGCUGGGUUGGAAGUGGGAUUUGGAGACCAGAGCUGGAGCCAGGAUAACUCAAGACCACCCUGAAUGUGAGCAAACUUUCACUGCUGAGCCCUGGUGGGAUCUUGUUCAGCGUUUAUGGACAUGUUAAGGGCUAGCUGGGACUUUGGGAAGCUGUGGAAAAAAUGAAUGGCUGGAGAAGGUUGGACUUGCACAUGUAACCUGGUGUUUUGGUUAGAUUUUGUGGCAUGCUGUGCCGAAUGCUCCUGCUUGUGGAGACAGAGGCUCCCUCAGAGCUCAUCCCUGUUUCGCUCUUGUCUGUAUUUCACUGUGCAAAGAUGGUCAAGAGAUGCUUGGGGGAGAUCAGAAGGCUGCCUGUAAUGUAGCGAUGAGCCAAUUGGGCCAGGUGAGACGUCUCUCCCAGUGCCAGGACAGCAGCAACUUACCUUUCUCCUUUGUUCUUGGCACACCUUUUUUUCCGCCCCAACCCUGCUUACCUAUUAUUUACUCUAUUUGAAACUCCAGCCAAUAUAGGACCACCACGCCUUAUCUAAAUACGUAAAACAAAGGGCAGGAUCCUUAUCUCCAAUUCCUCAGGUGUGGACCUGUCCAAAAUCACCCAAGAUACCUGAGGCAGAAGCAUGGUGUGAGCCCCAGCCCCCUGCGUAGUAGGACCUUCCCUGCCAUCCCUGGUAACGUUGCUGUGAAUGCCGUUGUUAUUGCAUUAAACGUCCACUGCCCCAGCCACGGCAGAGAGGCGUUUCAAAAGAUGCUACCACAUUACGCAGAAUAAAUGUCACCCUCUCAAAUCAGCAAGCUGUCGAAGGCUUGAGGUAACCGUCUAAAGGUUAUCCGGUGCUGCUUGUAUAUCUAUUUUCAAUUACCCCCACUUGUUGGUUUUGAAGUAUUUAGUAUGGAAAAUAAAUCAUAGCUCAAUGUGCUGUUCCAUCAUUCAGUAAUGCCUGACGUGACAGUCUCGGAAGAUCACAAGAUUAUAGCGAUAAGGGUCUAGUUUUAAAAUGUUUACCAUUUCCCAGUUGGAUCUUUGACCUCGGCCUGCAUUAAUGUUGUGCCAUUUUUAGGUCUAAUGCCAAUCUCUGUCUUGCAACAUAUCAUCAUUUUAAUGCCUGAUUUACACUCUGAAUUAUGGUAAUUUAUUGUAAUAGUGUGAUUUGACCUUUUCAGUAUUUCCUGUUUUUAUUGGCUAGAUGUAUCGUCCCUUUCCCCAGAGGUUAGCAGGACUUUGGGGGGUGCGGAGGAGGCAGGUGAGCCUAUCAAAGGACACGAUGCUGAAAAGGGCAAAAUGCAAGAGCAUCCUGCUAAUUCAUGGACUGGGGAACGCAUGGAAACUUAAAGGUGAUAUUUGUGACCAACCCUGCGCCAAGAACAGAGAUGACAUGUUGUCAGCCUUUGAGAUGAAAGGGCAUCUUCAGGAACGGCUGAAGCGAUGUCCAUGAACCUCCACGUGCAAAGCAGGGCUCUGGAAAGGCUUGUUGUGUCUUCACGGUGCCAGCCUGCAUCUCGCCAGCAUGGAGGUUGCUGUCACAGUUUGAAGCUGGUAUUUAUGGUUCCAGCACAGUGAAAUGCCCUUGAAAGUGGAUGGGUCUGGUUUUAGAGGAAAUCUGCUUUGGGAAUUGGAGUGUGCCCUGACGAGGGAGCAGAUAUGUAAAAGGCCAAGAUGGAAAGUGAAAAUAUAAUCCAAAUUGUUUCUUUUUUUUAUUGCCCUCUGCCCAGAAACACUACUUCUCUAAGGUAGGAUUUGCAGGCAUACAAUGAGAAAAGAAAGUGAUAGCUUACUAUUAAAAAAAAAAAGAAAAGAAAGAAAAAGAAAACCCAGAAACACUAAAAUAAUCCCCUACAACAAAAAGCUUUGAUAAAAGCAAAGCUGAGCCUGAGGGUGAUGCUGCUUUUUCACCCUGUUCUUCAGUAUUGAGUUGGUUCCAGAGGACCCAGCCUUUCCUUUCUGUUUUG